UACAGAGGGUGCGAGCGUUAAUCGGAAUUACUGGGCGUAAAGGGCGCGUAGGUGGUGAUGUAAGAUUGGUGUGAAAUCCCUGGGCUUAACCUAGGAAUGGCAUCGAUGACUGUAUCGCUAGAGUACUGUAGAGGGUAGUAGAAUUUCCGGUGUAGCGGUGAAAUGCGUAGAGAUCGGAAGGAAUACCAGUGGCGAAGGCGGCUACCUGGACAGAUACUGACACUGAGGCGCGAGAGCGUGGGGAGCAAACAGG
rnacentral:rRNA from 1 species